GACGAACGCUGGCGGCGUGCCUAACACAUGCAAGUCGAGCGAGAGACUUCGGUCUCUAGCGGCGGACGGGCGAGUAACACGUGGGUAACCUGCCUCAUAGAGGGGGAUAGCCUUCCGAAAGGAAGAUUAAUACCGCGUAACAUAUUUUAGUCGCAUGGCUAGAAUAUCAAAGGAGUAAUCCGCUGUGAGAUGGACCCGCGGCGCAUUAGCUAGUUGGUGAGGUAACGGCUCACCAAGGCCACGAUGCGUAGCCGACCUGAGAGGGUGAUCGGCCACAUUGGAACUGAGAUACGGUCCAGACUCCUACGGGAGGCAGCAGUGGGGAAUAUUGCACAAUGGGCGAAAGCCUGAUGCAGCAACGCCGCGUGAGUGAUGAAGGCCUUCGGGUUGUAAAGCUCUGUCUUUGGGGACGAUAAUGACGGUACCCAAGGAGGAAGCCACGGCUAACUACGUGCCAGCCGCCGCCGUAAGAC
rnacentral:rRNA from 1 species